rnacentral:lncRNA from 1 species
CAGGAGCUGCUGAACUCUUCUGCCCAGCCUUGGAGAGAAAGGCCACUGCUGCUGUUUCUGGAGAAGGCAUGGAAGGAUGGGCAGCUCCAGCUCCUGCUGAGUCCUCAGUGGUGCUCGGAGUCCUCCCCUGCUGCCUUGGUCAACCACAGACCCCAGGACUCUUGGUGUGAGGGCUUCUGGCAUGGCUCAGGAGAAUUAGGACAGUUGAAUGAUGAAGAAGACCACGUUGCACCCCAUCAUCAGCUUCCUGCUUCUCCACAGAGCUUAUGUGCAAUCCUUGGCACUUCCACUGAGGUCACAGUGAGCCGUGGCAACUUGUCCAUGACCAGCAAGGAAAACAUGGGCUUUUUGAAUUCCUCAAGGAGCAUCCAGGAUGGAAUGAGAUGAGAUUAGGUCUGGUCUUUUUGCCCUACUUCCUCCAAGCAGGAUCUGAGGUAUCAUGAGAAAAACAGACCUCGUGUUAUUUUGAGACCCAUUGCCUCUGAGUACUUCCAAAAACACUCUGAAAAACAUGAACAAAUGUAUGUAUAAAUGCUAGUUCACACAUAUAAUCCACACUGCAGGAGCUGUCUGUCUCCUCCUGGAGAGCUGCAGAUCUGCAGGACACAGAGCUGUGGUGGCCCCAGGACCACAUGGAGAUGGAGGUGUGCUGCCAGCAGUGCAGGAGCUGGUGGCUGCUAGGACAGCUCCAUGUCCCCAUGGGCGGCUUGCAACAGGCUCUGAGCACUGGAAGCAGAAGAUAACU